rnacentral:lncRNA from 1 species
AGAUUAUUAUUCUCUGCAGAUGGAAUUCCUUACCCCUAAACACUAAUAUGAGUCUGACUUCUGUUCCCCAUUUGACUUUCCACUUUUCACAGAAAACUAUGUAAGUCAUCAUUGUGGUGGAAAUGCAGAGCCUAUAGAGAGGCUUUCCCAAGGCAAUAGAAUCUGCUUACUUUCAAUAAAACAGGAGAACUCUACAUUCUGAUCACAAAGGAAAUAACAUAAGAUGCUGGGCGGCUUUUGUCUGCUUCUCUCCUCAACACAUAUCCUAUUUUACCUGAGUUAUGUUUUGCUGUGGUAAGAUGGCUAUGUCUACCAAAACAUCCAGACCAUGAGAAAAAUGCAGUCAGUUAUUCAGAUGUUUCCGACAGCCCAGAUGUUUAGUAUUAAUGUAGACUAAACAACUGGAUGAUUGUCUACAUGAUAUCAAAACAUUAGGAUUACAAAUGAAAAUUUUAGCCAGCGUCUGUGUCUGUUCUUAAAGAAAUGCACUGCAGUCAACAGUCCCCUCCACCCCCACCCCAGCAUUCUGGAGAAGGCUGCACAUGAAGAAGGAACAGAAAAAAAUGGCAGAUUGCUUUCAAAGCCUGUCAGUGACUUUUGGCAGCUAAGUUAGAGCUGUGGCUUUCCUUUGUAUUGCACUUUAUCUCUCUGCCACAAGAAUUUCAUUUCAAUCUGGUUUCAACAUGUGAGACACUCCAGAACUGAGGUUUUAUAAUGGACCUCUCAUCUGAAGUGUCACUUCUGAUACUAGUACUUGAUACUUCAAAAUGAAUCCAAGAUCAGUCUUUAACUAUAUAUUUGUUAUAUUGUAACUAUAUACUUAUAUUGUAUUAUAUUGCCAUAUAUUUGAUUUCUAUUUAACUAGACAUACAUGCAUAUAUAAUAUAUAAACAUUAUAUAUUCUGUCUGUAUUGUUGUGUAUAUGUACACACACACACACACACACACACACACAAACACAUACUGAGUCGACCUUUUGAUUGAAUCAUAGAAUCUCAGAGUUGGAGGAUUUCAGAGAACAUCUGGCACAGCCCAAAACUGAACAGGAAUCUUCUCUAGAGGCAGCCAAGCAACCCAUUGUGGAUAGAGCACUGAGCCUAGAAUCAGGAAGACUUGAAUUCAAAUGUGGCCUCAGACAGAUGCACAUUCUCUCCUUCCCAAUCUGGCCCAUCCCUCCAACUGAGAAAGCAAGAAAAACAAAACUUGUUCAAACAUAUAUAGUCAAGCAAAACAAAUUCCCACAUUAGCCAUGACCAAUAAAAAAUAUAUCUCUGUACA